GAUGAAGAACGCAGUGAAAUGCGAUACGUAACGUGAAUUGCAAAUUCAGUGAAUCAUCGAGUCUUUGAACGCACAUUGCGCCCCCUGGUAUUCCGGGGGGCAUGCCUGUCCGAGCGUCAUUGCUGCCCUCAAGCACGGCUUGUGUGUUGGGCCCCGUCCUCCGAUCCCGGGGGACGGGCCCGAAAGGCAGCGGCGGCACCGCGUCCGGUCCUCGAGCGUAUGGGGCUUUGUCACCCGCUCUGUAGGCCCGGCCGGCGCUUGCCGAUCAACCCAAAUUUUUAUCCAGGUUGACCUCGGAUCAGGUAGGGAUACCCGCUGAACUUAAGCAUAUCAAUAAGCGGAGGA
rnacentral:misc_RNA from 1 species